rnacentral:rRNA from 1 species
UCAAAUUUGAAAGCUGGCCCCCCCCGGGGGUCCGCGUUGUAAUUUGUAGAGGAUGAUUCGGCGAGGGCUCCCGCCUAAGUCCCCUGGAACGGGGCGUCAUAGAGGGUGAGAAUCCCGUAUGCGGUGGGCUGCCUUAGCCAUGUGAAUCUCCUUCGACGAGUCGAGUUGUUUGGGAAUGCAGCUCUAAAUGGGAGGUAAAUUUCUUCUAAAGCUAAAUACCGGCCAGAGACCGAUAGCGCACAAGUAGAGUGAUCGAAAGAUGAAAAGCACUUUGGAAAGAGAGUUAAAAAGUACGUGAAAUUGUUGAAAGGGAAGCGCUUGCAGCCAGACUUGCCCGCAGUUGCUCAGCCGGUCUCCUGACCGGCGCACUCUUCUGCGGCCAGGCCAGCAUCAGUUCGGGCGGUCGGAUAAAGGCCCCGGGAACGUAGCUCCUCUCGGGGAGUGUUAUAGCCCGGGGUGGAAUGCGGCCAGCCUG